rnacentral:rRNA from 1 species
CUACGGGUCGCAGCAGUGAGGAAUAUUGCGCAAUGGGCGAAAGCCUGACGCAGCAACGCCGCGUGGAUGAUGAAGGCCUUCGGGUUGUAAAAUCCUUUUUUGGGGAACGAUAAUGACGGUACCUCAAGAAUAAGUCCCGGCUAACUACGUGCCAGCAGCCGCGGUAAAACGUAGGGGGCGAGCGUUAUCCGGAUUUACUGGGCGUAAAGCGCACGUAGGCGGUGCCGUAAGUUGGAUGUGAAAGCUCCUGGCUUAACUGGGAGAGGUCGUUCAAAACUGCGGUGCUUGAGGAUAGAAGAGGAGAGUAGAAUUCCCGGUGUAGUGGUGGAAUGCGUAGAUAUCGGGAGGAAUACCAGUGGCGAAGGCGGCUCUCUGGUCUAUACCUGACGCUGAGGUGCGAAAGCGUGGGGAGCGAACGGGAUUAGAUACCCGCGUAGUC